rnacentral:rRNA from 1 species
GAACGCUAGCGGCAGGCCUAAUACAUGCAAGUCGAACGGUCUUUAGCAAUAGAGAUAGUGGCGCACGGGUGCGUAACGCGUAACCAACCUACCCGAAUCUGGGGGAUAGCCCGCCGAAAGGCGGAUUAAUACCGCAUAAAACGGCAGACCGGCAUCGGUUCACCGUUAAAGAUUUAUUGGAUUCGGAUGGGGUUGCGUGCCAUUAGCUAGUUGGCGGGGUAACGGCCCACCAAGGCGACGAUGGCUAGGGGAGCUGAGAGGCUGGUCCCCCACACGGGCACUGAGAUACGGGCCCGACUCCUACGGGAGGCAGCAGUAGGGAAUAUUGGGCAAUGGACGAGAGUCUGACCCAGCCAUGCCGCGUGCAGGAUGAAGGCUUUCUGAGUCGUAAACUGCUUUUCUCAGGGAAGAAAAAAGGGGAUGCGUCCUCUACUGACGGUACCUAAGGAAUAAGCACCGGCUAACUCCGUGCCAGCAGCCGCGGUAAUACGGAGGGUGCAAGCGUUGUCCGGAUUUAUUGGGUUUAAAGGGUGCGUAGGCGGUUCUUUAAGUCCGGGGUGAAAGCCCACUGCUCAACAGUGGAACUGCCCUGGAAACUGGAGGACUUGAGUACAGACGAGGGUGGCGGAAUGGAUGCUGUAGCGGUGAAAUGCAUAGAUAGCAUCCAGAACCCCGAUUGCGAAGGCAGCUGCCUAGACUGUAACUGACGCUGAGGCACGAAAGCGUGGGGAGCGAACAGGAUUAGAUACCCUGGUAGUCCACGCCGUAAACGAUGGAUACUCGCUGGUGGCGAUAGACGGUCACUGGCUUAGCGAAAGCGUUAAGUAUCCCACCUGGGGAGUACGCUCGCAAGAGUGAAACUCAAAAGAAUUGACGG